rnacentral:tRNA from 1 species
GUAGGUAGCGGUCAGUGGUAGAGUGCUCACUUAGUAUGUGUGAGGUCCUGGGUUCAAUCCCCAGUAACUCCA